GAUCCUGGCUCAGAUUGAACGCUGGCGGAAUGCUUUACACAUGCAAGUCGAACGGUAGAGGGGCAACCCUCGAGAGUGGCGAACGGGUGAGUAAUAUAUCGGAACGUGCCCAGUCGUGGGGGAUAACGUAGCGAAAGUUACGCUAAUACCGCAUACGAUCUACGGAUGAAAGCGGGGGAUCGCAAGACCUCGCGCGAUUGGAGCGGCCGAUAUCAGAUUAGGUAGUUGGUGGGGUAAAGGCUCACCAAGCCAACGAUCUGUAGCUGGUCUGAGAGGACGACCAGCCACACUGGAACUGAGACACGGUCCAGACUCCUACGGGAGGCAGCAGUGGGGAAUUUUGGACAAUGGACGCAAGUCUGAUCCAGCCAUUCCGCGUGCAGGAUGAAGGCCCUCGGGUUGUAAACUGCUUUUGUACGGAACGAAAAGGUUUCUAUUAAUACUAGGAGCUCAUGACGGUACCGUAAGAAUAAGCACCGGCUAACUACGUG
rnacentral:rRNA from 1 species